UGACUGGCGUCACUUGCCAUUGAGAAUGUGAGGGGCUGCCGGCUCCUCGCCGCUGAUUGGCUCAAUCCGAGGGCCCUUCGCAGGUAACGGCACCUCCAUCUUCUCGCCCCUUGAUUAAUUGCGCCUGCCUCAGACCUCAUUUACAUGUUACUCUGCCAUUUAAUUACCCAAACUGCGGCUGAAAUCUGCCGGAUCUUUGGACUUAAUUUGGCGCAACCAGUGUCAUGAUGCGGGAGGUAUACGGGAGUACCUGCGCCGCUAUUGUGUUCAACAAUUUGCGGCUGUUUUGUUCAAAAGAAAAAAGGAAAAUAGAAAUGUGCACCAGACAGGAUCUGGAACAAUACACAACUCUGGUGUCAAUCAAACAGGAUAUUCGUUCCACUGAGGCAAAAAAUAGGGUUUUUUUUCUUCGCUAGGGCUCUAGACAUUUAUACAGCAACUGCAUUAUUAUUUUUCCCAAUUAAUAUGGUUCAUUCGUUGGUAUGAAAUGAUUCUGUGGCCCCAUAAUGUAGAAAAAGAAGCCCCCUUGUCCUUUGGGAGUGGUGGGGGAGUGCGGACUGGUGGUGGGGAUUGAGGAUUUUGACCCUUCAUUGAACAGUCAUCUAAACUAGCCCAGGUGACUGCUAGCCUGGCUACUGCUGGACUGUAUGUUCCAGGGAACAUCAGCUGCCGCCCUUAAAAUUCAACAUUUCUUCAAUCCUGUUGCUUUUCUGUAUUUUCCUGAUUCUGGUAUAUCGGCGUAGCCGCCCCCAACAAAACAGAGAGAGAGAAAAUCUGUCAAUGACUGGGCAAAGUUGUUUUGCAGUGUGUUUGUUUGGGUUUGAAAGCCCCAGCGCCCAUUCUGUUCGAGUCUAACAGCAUUUCUGGCGCAUUUUGUACUGUCUCAUUGAAAAGCUGUGCCAGCCAAGAGAGCUUCGUAAAGAUCUAGCCUUCCCAUUUUCUGAGCUGUCCGCAAGGCUGAAAGUCUGGCCAUUGAACAGUUUCUACAGGACUGUCGCCGCCUCUCUGCAGGAUACACAGAAUCUGAUCAAGUUGAGAGAUGCAUAGAGACAGUGUUUCAUGCAGCGCUUUAUAACACAGCCUUUUGACGUCCCUUAUCCCCAACCCGCACUUUGGAAAUAACUUCCACCACGCAGUUAGUUUUGCAAAGGCAGUGUAGCCGCGCGGAGAUUCUGCUCCGCCGCCCCCGUGUCAUUAAAAGACAGAGUUUCCAUAAAGUUUCCAGGCAUCCGGGAGGUCCAAUGCGGAAAACCCAGCAACCGAUUUGUGCAGAGCAGGAUCCCAUCAACGGAACUGUGGUAACACCCAGAUGGAUUGUUUUUAAACAGAUUAUUGUGAGGGUGGUGCGCCAGCCUGCAUUUUAUGCUCUAAAGACUCCCGAGUGAAAUUUGAAGUCACGACCUCCAGACUGAGUUGGAAGCAGCAGAGUCACUACAUUCGGUGCCAAUUCACAGAAAAUAAACUGGCCUCUAAAACGGCUGCGUUUCAGAGAAAGUACAUUUCACGGUGUAUAAAGUUUCACAACAGCUUUCCGAUAGGAAGGAGACCAGAAUUGCACGCAUUAUUCCAAUAGUGGCCCUGAGUGUUAGUGAUUCUGGAGUCCGGGACAAAUCAGACCAACACCCAAACUGAGUCACCGAGGGUGGAAGGAGCCAACAUGCCAGCCACGUUGACACGAAGGUCAAGAACAUACAGCAAUGCCUCUACUUCCUCAGGAGGCUAAGGAAAUUCAGCACAUUCAUAAAGACUCAAUUUUUUAUAGGAGUACCGUAGAAAGCAUCCUAUAUGGAUGCAUCAGCACUUGGUAGGGCAACUGCUCUUCGCAAGGCUGCAAGGAACUACAGGGAGUUGUGAACACAGCCCAGUCCAUCAUACAAAUGAGCUUUCCAUCCAUCGAGGUGAAAGUGAGGACUGCAGAUGCUGGAGAUCAGAGUCAAGAUUAGAGUGGUGCUGGAAAAGCACAGCA